rnacentral:rRNA from 1 species
GCGUGUAGGCUGGUUUUCCAGGCAAAUCCGGAAAAUCAAGGCUGAGGCGUGAUGACGAGGCACUACGGUGCUGAAGCAACAAAUGCCCUGCUUCCAGGAAAAGCCUCUAAGCAUCAGGUAACAUCAAAUCGUACCCCAAACCGACACAGGUGGUCAGGUAGAGAAUACCAAGGCGCUUGAGAGAACUCGGGUGAAGGAACUAGGCAAAAUGGUGCCGUAACUUCGGGAGAAGGCACGCUGAUAUGUAGGUGAAGCGACUUGCUCGUGGAGCUGAAAUCAGUCGAAGAUACCAGCUGGCUGCAACUGUUUAUUAAAAACACAGCACUGUGCAAACACGAAAGUGGACGUAUACGGUGUGACGCCUGCCCGGUGCCGGAA